CCUACGGGUGGCAGCAGUGGGGAAUAUUGCACAAUGGGGGAAACCCUGAUGCAGCGACGCCGCGUGAGUGAAGAAGUAUUUCGGUAUGUAAAGCUCUAUCAGCAGGGAAGAAAAUGACGGUAACUGAUUAAGAAGCCCCGGCUAACGACGUGCCAGCCGCCGCGGUAAUACGUAGGGGGCAAGCGUCAUCCGGAUUUACUGGGGGUAGAGGGAGCGUAGGCGGCAGCACAAGUCUGGAGUGAAAUGCCGGAGCUUAACCCCGGAACUGCUUUGGAAACUGUGCAGCUAGAGUGCAGGAGAGGUAAGUGGAAUUCCUAGUGUAGCGGUGGAAUGCGUAGAUAUUAGGAGGAACACCAGUGGCGAAGGCGGCUUACUGGACUGUAACUGACGUUGAGGCUCGAAAGCGUGGGGAGCAAACAGGAUUAGAUACCCUAGUAGUC
rnacentral:rRNA from 1 species